AUGGUCAUGGGUUCUGAAAGAUAGACCAAUGUUCACAGGACCAUUGGCUUUAUCUCAGCAACUUAUAACUUGCAUUUCAGAGGCUGAUGCUAGGAUAAACGGAACAAAAUGCAGCUGGAGAAAUUAGAGUAAAGGAUUCCCCGUCCUUCCAUGGGACUUGCCUUCCCCCCACCCCCACCCUCCUCCACAGCGUGUGCUGCUAUCUUCCCGAGCUCCCCCAGAGCCAGGAGAGGCCUUGCGAUGCUGAGGAUUGUCAUUUAGUUCCAUUUCUUUGUUCCUUCGCUUCAUCUUGUGCCCCUGCUGAAGACAAAGAGAAGCCAUUUGUUAGAUUAAAGAUAAGACAUCUUCACAGGCUUAGCAAGGAAUACGUUUUUAAUACAGCCAUUUAAAUGUCUCUCGCCCCUCACAUAGGCCCAGAAAUAUCUUAUUUGACUAUCAAAGAGCUUUAGAUAUCUGAACUGCAAUUGCUGGCACAUGGUAUCUUUAAAGAGCAUAUAAAUCACUGUUAAUAAAUGUAUGCCACAUUGACAACGA